CCUACGGGCGGCAGCAGUGAGGAAUAUUGGUCAAUGGCCGGAAGUCUGAACCAGCCAAGCCGCGUGAAGGACGAAGGUGCCAAGCAUUGUAAACUUCUUUUGUCAAGGGACAAAAUCAGGCUCGAGAGCCUGACCGAGGGUACUUUAAGAAAAAGCAUCGGCUAACUCCGUGCCAGCAGCCGCGGUAAUACGGAGGAUGCGAGCGUUAUCCGGAUUUAUUGGGUUUAAAGGGUGCGUAGGCGGACGGUUAAGUCAGCGGUAAAAGCCCGGGGCUCAACCCCGGCGAGCCGUUGAAACUGGCUGUCUUGAGAUGUCGAGAGGUAUGCGGAAUGCGCAGUGUAGCGGUGAAAUGCUUAGAUAUUGCGCAGAACUCCGAUUGCGAAGGCAGCAUACCGGCGGCGAUCUGACGCUGAGGCACGAAAGCGUGGGUAUCGAACAGGAUUAGAUACCCGAGUAGUC
rnacentral:rRNA from 1 species